ACCCUGAACAUAUUCGUAAGCAAGAGAAUUAUCUGACGAAAACAACGGGUGUAAUUUCUCAAUUCAGCACUUCCUUUGAAGGAUUUUCUCGACUGAGCUCGCAUAUCAUCAAUAAUCGUAAAUAAAUCAGUCAACCAUUCAGACAAAACUUUAAGUAUGUCAUUUGAAAAAGACUCAGUUCUUUCGCCUUGGGAUGUAAUAACAAUCAAGGCGUCUACAGUAGCAGGAUAGUAUUCAGAAUUCGGAACCUUUGACAGCUCGUUGAAUAAUAGUGCACGGUCAUCGGAAGACAUUUCUUUAUGCUUUUCAGCUGCAUGAGUCCAUAAGGAAAUAGUGGCUGCCAGUAUGUUUCCGUGAACUUUAUUUUCAAUAAUGUCUUUAGUGGAAUCAACAAGUUUUUGUAGGAUUACAUUUUUACAAAACUGCUCAUUGUUGAUGAGCCUUUUUAUGCGUUUGUAGCGUUUAUCCAAUGACUGUUGAUUCGAUAUUUGGGUGAGAAUCGUGUCUAUAUCCAAAGCCUUCAUAGCUUAGAUAUAAAUCGAUGCAGCAAACAACGACAAUUUUUCUUUAACCCAAACGUAAUAUAGGUCCUGGGUUGGCACCGAUUUAAGUAUUAAGAUUUUAAAUAUAUUUAAAAAGUGCUAAAUUAAAGAUUUAAUGAAGUAAACCCAAAUUAUAGACUGCUUAAGCCGUGGAGGAUUAUUAUAAACUCCUGAAAAGAUAGCCUUAAGAAACGUGCAGAUAUCGAACUGUAACGGAUUGUAAAAGCACACCUCAAUAUAGCAUCGAUUAGGAUUUAUUCAAUUUCUAUGUUUUAGUCAAUAAAAUCGAAACAAUGAGUCUUCUUCGCGUUGAAGAAGUCAGAAGAUGGUUAAUACAUACAUAAUUUUAGCGAGUAUAUGAUAAAUCUGUUGGUGAAUUUCGGAGUCAAGGUGGAGAUAUGCAAAUUACUAAAUACAAGAAUAACCAUUUA